CGGCGGACGGGUGAGUAACGCGUGGGUAACCUACCCUGUACACACGGAUAACAUACCGAAAGGUAUGCUAAUACGGGAUAAUAUAUUUGAGAGGCAUCUCUUGAAUAUCAAAGGUGAGCCAGUACAGGAUGGACCCGCGUCUGAUUAGCUAGUUGGUAAGGUAACGGCUUACCAAGGCGCGAUCAGUAGCCGACCUGAGAGGGUGAUCGGCCACAUUGGAACUGAGACACGGUCCAA
rnacentral:rRNA from 1 species